rnacentral:rRNA from 1 species
CAAUAGCGUAUAUUAAAGUUGUUGCAGUUAGAACGCUCGUAGUCGGAUUUCGGGGCGGGUCGACCGGUCUGCCGAUGGGUACGCACUGGCCGACGCGUCCUUCCUUCCGGAGACCGUCCCUACUCUUAACUGAGCGGGGGCGGGAGACGGAACGUUUACUUUGAAAAAAUCAGAGUGUUUCAAGCAGGCAUCUCGCUCUUGCAUGGAUUAGCAUGGGAUAAUGAAAUAGGACUUUGGUGCUAUUUUGUUGGUUUCGAACACCGAAGUAAUGAUGAGAAGGGACAGUCAGGGGCACUCGUAUUCCGCCGAGAGAGGUGAAAUUCUCAGACCAGCGGAAGACGAACUACUGCGAAAGCAUUUGCCAGGGAUGUUUUCACUGA